GGACGCGCACGCAGGGCGGGUCGUGCGGGGGCGCGCGCGUGCCUAGGCGACGCGCGGAGGAACUUAGUAGAGCCGCGGUAACACUGCUAGGUCGGCUUUCUGUCCACGCCGUCGGUAGCGUCGCCUGUCUCGUGCCGCUGCCGCCGCCGCCGCCAUGGGAGUGCAGGUGGAAACCAUCUCCCCAGGAGACGGGCGCACCUUUCCGAAGCGCGGCCAGACCUGCGUGGUACACUACACCGAUGAGUGUGGGUCAGAGAGCCAAACUGACUAUCUCCCCAGACUAUGCCUAUGGUGCCACUGGGCACCCAGGCAUCAUCCCACCACAUGCCACUCUUGUCUUCGACGUGGAGCUUCUAAAACUGGAAUGACAGGAGUGGCCUCCUCCCUUAGCUCCCUGUUCUUGGGUAUUAGAAUCAUUACACACAGGAAUGCUGUCAUCUGCUUUCCAACUGCCCAGUUCUUCCUAUUCACUGCCCACCUGUCCAUGGAACCAGAAGGCCACAGCCAGAGGCUAAAUGAGGACGCUUUUGUUUGAAAGCUGUAGCAAGUGGCUGCUAACUCAGUGAUGGCAAUCGGAGCUACUUGGAAUCUUGCCUUGCAGCAGGCUUCUUGAAAUCUGCUAUGGAGGGAUCCUGUGUCUCCAGAUGCGUGCACAUGAAUCAAUAUGGAGCUUUUCCUGAUAUCCCACUACUCUUUAUAUAAACAUCUACCCCGACUGAAUGUGUUCUGUCACUCAGCUUUGCUUCUGACACCUCCAUUUCCUCUUCCCUGUGUCCUUGUAUGUGUGUUUACCUAAACUAUAUGCCAUUAACCUCAAGUUAUUCAUUUUGUUUGUUUUGGGUUGAAGAUUCAGUUUCAGUCUUUUGGAUCUAGUUUCCAAUUAAGUAUAUUGUCAAGUAUUAAGAGCACAAGUGAUGGGUUAACUUUAGAAUAGUAAUUAGUGUUGGGGGGGGUUCCAAGAAUUUUGGGGGGGGGAUGAAAUUUUUAUCUAUUAUAUAUUAAACAUUCUUGCUGCUGCGCUGCAAAGCCAUAGCAGAUUUGAGAUGUGGUUGAGGGCUGAAUUAUUCUCCAUUGUGAGAGAUGUUCUUGGGUUAAAUUAAAAGCCCUACCCAAAGCUGAAGUGGGGAGGGGGAGAGCCUUAGCCUCUGUCAGCCCCAGCCACCUCCCCUGAAACCUUUGCCUUUUGAAAGCAGAUCACUUUCACUGCAAUGUUGGACACUACAGGUAUCUGUCCCUGGGCCAGCGGGGACCUCUGAUGCCUUCUUGACCUACUCCCCCAACCCCAUUUUUCUAAUGGAUUUUCAGGACUUUUAUAAUCUCAUAACUAUUUAAGCUCCACUUCCUAAAUUUUAAGAACUUUAAUUGAAAGUUUAAAUUGAAGGUGCUGUUUGUAGACUUAUCACCCAACGAAAGCCCUGCCAUCAUGACAAAUCCUUGAGUGUUCUAUUAAAAUAAUGAUGCUGGUCAUCGCAGCUUCAGCAUCCCCUGUUUUUUGUUUGUUUUGGGGUUUUUUUUUUUGUGGGUUGUUCUGUUUUGGUUUUGUUUUUUUUUUUUUGAUGCUUGGCUCCCUCUGCUGAUCUCAGAGCUUCCUGGCUUUUCUUCCCUCAGUCCCUUCUCACCCUUUGCUGUCCUGUGUAGUGAUUUGGUGAGAAGUGUUGCUUUGUUCCCCAUUCCACCCACGCUCAGCACCACCCCUAUCCCCGCGCCACAUAUGAGUUUCAAGUUUUAUUAUUGCAAUAAAAGUGCUUUAUGCUGACUUUUCUCA